AACAAUUCGAACUGAUUAAGAAAAAAAUCCGAAACCCCAUUGCUAUAUCUCCCACUAUCUGUUAUUAUUAAGUUAAUUAUUUUUGUUCGGUAUAUAGGGAGGGAGCAAUCCUUCCACCUGAAUUGAGCAAUAAUAGUAAUAAUUGUGGAGCACAAUCCACGCAGGAGGAAAUAACAUGCAAGAAGGUACAGUAAAAUGGUUCAACGCAGAAAAAGGUUUCGGUUUCAUCGAAGUUGACGGUGGAGAAGAUGUAUUCGUACAUUUCUCAGCUAUCCAAGGCGACGGCUUCAAAACACUUGACGAAGGUCAAAAAGUGACUUUCGAAGUUGAAGAAGGCCAACGUGGACUUCAAGCUGCUAACGUUGUAAAAGCAUAAUUUCUGCUUUUAUCAUGAGAGAAAGAUCCCCGGUUUCGGGGGUCUUUUUUU
rfam:Bacillus marisflavi strain JCM 11544 scaffold2, whole genome shotgun sequence.